rnacentral:rRNA from 1 species
UACGGGGGGGGCAAGCGUUGUUCGGAAUUACUGGGCGUAAAGGGCUCGUAGGUGGCCAACUAAGUCAGACGUGAAAUCCCUCGGCUUAACCGGGGAACUGCGUCUGAUACUGGAUGGCUAGAGAUUGGGAGAGGGAUGCGGAAUUCCAGGUGUAGCGGUGAAAUGCGUAGAUAUCUGGAAGAACACCGGUGGCGAAGGCGGCAUCCUGGACCAACACUGACGCUGAGGAGCGAAAGCCAGGGGAGCAAACGGG